UACGUAGGGUGCGAGCGUUGUCCGGAAUUACUGGGCGUAAAGAGCUCGUAGGUGGUUUGUCGCGUUGUUCGUGAAAUCUCACGGCUUAACUGUGAGCGUGCGGGCGAUACGGGCAGACUGGAGUACUGCAGGGGAGACUGGAAUUCCUGGUGUAGCGGUGGAAUGCGCAGAUAUCAGGAGGAACACCGGUGGCGAAGGCGGCUACCUGGACGACAACUGACGCUGAGACGCGAAAGCGUGGGGAGCAAACAGG
rnacentral:rRNA from 1 species